rnacentral:rRNA from 1 species
GACGAACGCUGGCGGCGUGCUUAACGCAUGCAAGUCGAACGGAAAGGCCCUGCUUUUGUGGGGUGCUCGAGUGGCGAACGGGUGAGUAACACGUGAGUAACCUGCCCUUGACUUUGGGAUAACUUCAGGAAACUGGGGCUAAUACCGGAUAGGAGCUCCUGCUGCAUGGUGGGGGUUGGAAAGUUUCGGCGGUUGGGGAUGGACUCGCGGCUUAUCAGCUUGUUGGUGGGGUAGUGGCUUACCAAGGCUUUGACGGGUAGCCGGCCUGAGAGGGUGACCGGCCACAUUGGGACUGAGAUACGGCCCAGACUCCUACGGGAGGCAGCAGUGGGGAAUAUUGCACAAUGGGCGGAAGCCUGAUGCAGCAACGCCGCGUGCGGGAUGACGGCCUUCGGGUUGUAAACCGCCUUCGCCUGUGACGAAGCGUGAGUGACGGUAAUGGGUAAAGAAGCACCGGCUAACUACGUG